rnacentral:rRNA from 1 species
UACGUAGGGUGCAAGCGUUGUCCGGAAUUAUUGGGCGUAAAGAGCUCGUAGGCGGUCUGUCGCGUCUGCUGUGAAAACUCAGGGCUUAACCCUGAGCUUGCAGUGGGUACGGGCAGACUAGAGUGCGGUAGGGGAGACUGGAAUUCCUGGUGUAGCGGUGAAAUGCGCAGAUAUCAGGAGGAACACCGGUGGCGAAGGCGGGUCUCUGGGCCGUAACUGAUGCUGAGGAGCGAAAGCAUGGGGAGCGAACAGG